rnacentral:rRNA from 1 species
UACGGAGGGAGCUAGCGUUAUUCGGAAUUACUGGGCGUAAAGCGUACGUAGGCGGCUUUGUAAGUUAGAGGUGAAAGCCUGGAGCUCAACUCCAGAACUGCCUUUAAAACUGCAUCGCUUGAAUCCAGGAGAGGUGAGUGGAAUUCCGAGUGUAGAGGUGAAAUUCGUAGAUAUUCGGAAGAACACCAGUGGCGAAGGCGGCUCACUGGACUGGUAUUGACGCUG